GGCAAGAUAGAUCCGUAACUCCGGGAAAAGGAUUGGCUCUAAGGGUUGAUUUGAAAAAAACUAUUAGUAUCGCUAUUUCUUUUUAAUUUUGGAUGCUCCAAUAAUUAAAAAAGCAAAGAUGAUAAAUUAAUAGAGAAUGGAAACAAAAUGUCUCGUUACAUUUUUUGUUAAAGUUCAUUUUUCAAAAAUUUAACAACUGACUUAGAACUGGUACGGACAAAGGGAAUCCGACUGUUUAAUUAAAA
rnacentral:rRNA from 1 species